rnacentral:miRNA from 1 species
UAUGCCAGGGCAAGCUCUCUGC